GAAUUAAUUAUAUUAGUAAGUUAUGUUGCAUUAUCAAUUAUAACUAUAGUUGUAUACAUAUUUGAUAUAUAAACA
rnacentral:sRNA from 1 species